rnacentral:rRNA from 1 species
GAUGAACGCUAGCUACAGGCUUAACACAUGCAAGUCGAGGGGUAACAAGAGGAAAGCUUGCUUUUCUUGUUGACGACCGGCGCACGGGUGAGUAACGCGUAUCCAACCUGCCUAUAACUAGGGAAUAACCUUGCGAAAGUAAGACUAAUACCCUAUGAUUUCCUUUGAUGACAUCAGAUUAGGAAUAAAGAUUUAUCGGUUAUAGAUGGGGAUGCGUCUGAUUAGCUUGUUGGCGGGGUAACGGCCCAUCAAGGCAACGAUCAGUAGGGGUUCUGAGAGGAAGGUCCCCCACAUUGGAACUGAGACACGGUCCAAACUCCUACGGGAGGCAGCAGUGAGGAAUAUUGGUCAAUGGGCGGAAGCCUGAACCAGCCAAGUAGCGUGCAGGAUGACGGCCCUAUGGGUUGUAAACUGCUUUUAUACAGGAAUAAAGUUAGCCACGUGUGGUUAUUUGUAGGUACUGUAUGAAUAAGGACCGGCUAAUUCCGUGCCAGCCGCCGCCGUAAAAC